GCAGGUGAACAGACAGGAAGCUCAUCCUGGGAGUGGGAAUUGGUGCCAGCCCAGGGAAUAGUGGUCAUGAGGACUAAACCAUACGGUGAAUGUAAGAGGUCAGCAUACGCCUGGCACCUGCACAUAUUCAGACAACUUCCUUCCCUCCUCCUUCUUCCUCGUUCAACGGGACAUUAAACCUUGCCAGUUUGCCACUCAGAGGUUGCCAGGAUGGAAAAGAGGACUUGAUAUGAAGGCGCUGGAUGGGAGGCAGAAGACAAAAUUAUGUGCUGAUCCCUCUAAAAGGUGGAAUUUGGGAAAGCUACCACAUCCCUGGGAGACCGGGGCCUUGUGCCGAGAGCUGUUAAGUACCAGCGCGUGGAAAUGAUCUGCCAUCCAGUAGCUUCUCCUCCCACAGCCGUUCUCAUCAAGGCCUCUGGACAUCAGAAAGGCAGGCUCUUGCUUCAUCACAACUGGUGGGAGGGUGCCGGCUCCUGCUUUGCUGUUUGGAGCCUGUGUGACCUCUGAUUUCCUUGAGCCAGGGAACUGUGGGGUCCGAGAGGGAUGAAUGAAGGUGACUCAGCAUCAGUGGACCAUGCUGGGCCAUGUGGGGGCCUGCCCAGUGAAGCCAGGGUCCCUGCUCUCUGGCAUAGCUAGGCCACUAUGUGUAGCUUGAGUGGGUGCUUGAAGGCGGUGGGCAGUUCAAAGAACCAAAGCAUUACACACAUAGAUCACCACUGAGGAGCAAGGGGAGACACAGGAGCUUGUGCUUAGCGACACCCAGAGUGUCCCCGGCAGUGCCCCUGAGUGCAGCCCAGAGGUUGAAUGGAGCCCAGAAGGGAUUGCAAAUAAGCUGAGUGCUGCAAUCAGGAUCUAAGAGCAUCUCUGUUGUUUGUAGCAAAGACUAGAAUCUGACAAGAUGAAGUUUUACAGGGACAAAGAGGACAUCCUGCUUUGAGGCUAUGUCAGCAGGAUAAUGAAGAUCUGGGGGCUUUAGCAAAUAAGUCAGCUGAUACGUAGCAGCAAUGGGUUGGUAGGGGAGGUAUGGAUACCCAGGCAGCUAACUUCUGGGAUUUUGUCAUACAAAACAGGAGCCAAAGUAAGUGGAAGGUGGUUCUUCUUUGGGCAAGUCUGGUUCCAAGUGAAGAUUUAGGAGGGAUAUUGACAAAGUGGGCCAGUCCAGAGAUGGGCACACGAGGGGCCUUGAAACUUAUUUGAAAGGAGGGCCUGGGGCUGAUACUAGACAUUGAAAUCCAGGGAUAGGAAACUCCCUGUCUGAGAGGUCACCGUUUUUAGACAGCUGGGAAAACUCAGAUCUAAAGGCUGAAGGGCAUGGAAAAGCCUGAGAGACUCAGACUAGUGACAAAGAAGAACUUUCUAAACCCAUCAGAAUACCAGUGCCAAGGUUUCAUCUCCCUCGGGCUUCUAUUAAGAAUAUGAUACUCUCUUUCCUACACCUCCUUGAUACAACCACUAUGGAGGACUGUAUGGAGGCUCCUUUAAAAACUAAAACUAGAGUUACCAAGGGAAAAAAACUGAAGGUUGCUCAGUUGUCUAACUCUUUGCAAUCCCAUACACUGUAGC